rnacentral:rRNA from 1 species
AUUGAACGCUGGCGGCAUGCUUUACACAUGCAAGUCGAACGGCAGCGCGGGCUUCGGCCUGGCGGCGAGUGGCGAACGGGGGAGUAAUGCAUCGGAACGUGCCCAGCAGUGGGGGAUAGCCCGGCGAAAGCCGGAGUAAUACCGCAUACGACCUGAGGGUGAAAGCGGGGGACCGAAAGGCCUCGCGCUAUUGGAGCGGCCGAUGCCGGAUUAGCUAGUUGGUGGGGUAAAGGGUUACCAAGGCGACGAUCCGUAGCUGGUCUGAGAGGGCGACCGGCCACACUGGGACUGAGACACGGCCCAGACUCCUACGGGAGGCAGCAGUGGGGAAUUUUGGACAAUGGGGGCAACCCUGAUCCAGCCAUGCCGCGUGCGGGAAGAAGGCCUUCGGGUUGUAAACCGCUUUUGUUCGGGAAGAAAUGCUCUGGGCUAAUACCCCGGGGGGAUGACGGUACCGGAAGAAUAAGCACCGGCUAACUACGUG